rnacentral:rRNA from 1 species
UACGUAGGGUGCGAGCGUUAAUCGGAAUUACUGGGCGUAAAGAGUGCGUAGGCGGUUCUUUGGGUCCGCUGGGAAAGCCCCGGGCUUAACCUGGGAAUGGCAGUGGAAACUAGAGAACUUGAAUCUGGCAGAGGGGGGUGGAAUGCCACGUGUAGCAGUGAAAUGCGUAGAUAUGUGGCGGAACACCGAUGGCGAAGGCAGCCCCCUGGGCUGAGAUUGACGCUCAGGCACGAAAGCGUGGGGAGCAAACAGG